GGAAGGGGUGUAUUUAUUAGAUUAAAAACCAAUGCCCUUCGGGGCUCUCUGGUGAUUCAUAAUAACUUCUCGAAUCGCACGGCCUUGCGCCGGCGAUGGUUCAUUCAAAUUUCUGCCCUAUCAACUUUCGACGGCUGGGUAUUGGCCAAACAUGGUUGCAACGGGUAACGGAGGGUUAGGGCUCGACCCCGGAGAAGGAGCCUGAGAAACGGCUACUACAUCCAAGGAAGGCAGCAGGCGCGCAAAUUACCCAAUCCCGACACGGGGAGGUAGUGACAAUAAAUACUGAUACAGGGCUCUUUUGGGUCUUGUAAUUGGAAUGAGUACAAUUUAAAUCCCUUAACGAGGAACAAUUGGAGGGCAAGUCUGGUGCCAGCAGCCGCGGUAAUUCCAGCUCCAAUAGCGUAUAUUAAAGUUGUUGUGGUUAAAAAGCUCGUAGUUGAACCUUGGGCCUGGCCGUCCGGUCCGCCUCACCGCGUGUACUGGCUCGGCCGGGCCUUUCCCUCUGUGGAACCCCAUGCCCUUCACUGGGCGUGGCGGGGAACCAGGACUUUUAC
rnacentral:rRNA from 1 species